rnacentral:rRNA from 1 species
AUUGAACGCUGGCGGCAUGCUUUACACAUGCAAGUCGAGCGGCAACACGGGGGCAACCCUGGUGGCGAGUGGCGAACGGGUGAGUAAUACAUAGGAACGUAUCCUGAAAUGGGGGAUAGCUCGGCGAAAGCCGGAUUAAUACCGCAUACGAUCUACGGAUGAAAGCAGGGGAUUCGCAAGAACCUUGCGUUUCUGGAGCGGCCUAUGUCUGAUUAGCUAGUUGGCGGGGUAAAAGCCCACCAAGGCGACGAUCAGUAGCUGGUCUGAGAGGAUGAUCAGCCACACUGGGACUGAGACACGGCCCAGACUCCUACGGGAGGCAGCAGUGGGGAAUUUUGGACAAUGGGGCGAACCCUGAUCCAGCCAUGCCGCGUGAGUGAAGAAGGCCUCGGUU